rnacentral:rRNA from 1 species
AGAGUUUGAUCCUGGCUCAGGACGAACGCUGGCGGCAUGCCUUACACAUGCAAGUCGAACGGCAGCACGGGGCAACCUGGUGGCGAGUGGCGAACGGGUGAGUAAUGCAUCGGAACGUGCCAUUGAGUGGGGGAUAACGUAGCGAAAGUUGCGCUAAUACCGCAUAUUCUGUGAGCAGGAAAGCAGGGGACCGCAAGGCCUUGCGCUCUUUGAGCGGCCGAUGUCAGAUUAGCUAGUUGGUGAGGUAACGGCUUACCAAGGCGACGAUCUGUAGCGGGUCUGAGAGGAUGAUCCGCCACACUGGAACUGAGACACGGUCCAGACUCCUACGGGAGGCAGCAGUGGGGAAUUUUGGACAAUGGGCGCAAGCCUGAUCCAGCCAUGCCGCGUGAGUGAAGAAGGCCUUCGGGUUGUAAAGCUCUUUCGGCCGGGAAGAAAUCGCAUGGGUUAAUACCCUGUGUGGAUGACGGUACCGGAAUAAGAAGCACCGGCUAACUACGUGCCAGCAGCCGCGGUAAUACGUAGGGUGCGAGCGUUAAUCGGAAUUACUGGGCGUAAAGCGUGCGCAGGCGGUUUUGUAAGACAGGCGUGAAAUCCCCGGGCUUAACCUGGGAACUGCGCUUGUGACUGCAAGGCUAGAGUACGGCAGAGGGGGGUGGAAUUCCACGUGUAGCAGUGAAAUGCGUAGAGAUGUGGAGGAACACCGAUGGCGAGGGCAGCCCCCUGGGCCAAUACUGACGCUCAUGCACGAAAGCGUGGGUAGCAAACAGGAUUAGAUACCCUGGUAGUCCACGCCCUAAACGAUGUCAACUAGGUGUUGGGAGGGUAAAACCUUUUAGUACCGGAGCUAACGCGUGAAGUUGACCGCCUGGGGAGUACGGCCGCAAGGUUAAAACUCAAAGGAAUUGACGGGGACCCGCACAAGCGGUGGAUGAUGUGGAUUAAUUCGAUGCAACGCGAAAAACCUUACCUACCCUUGACAUGUCUGGAACCUUGCUGAGAGGCGAGGGUGCCUUCGGGAGCCAGAACACAGGUGCUGCAUGGCUGUCGUCAGCUCGUGUCGUGAGAUGUUGGGUUAAGUCCCGCAACGAGCGCAACCCUUGUGAUCAGUUACUAACAGGUAAUGCUGAGGACUCUGAUAAGACUGCCGGGGACAACUCGGAGGAAGGUGGGGACGACGUCAAAUCAUCAUGCCCCUUAUGACCUGGGCUACACACGUGCUACAAUGGCCACUACAGAGAGCAGCGAGCUCGUAAGGGGGAGCUAAUCUCAAAAAAGUGGUCCCAGUUCGGAUUGUGGGCUGCAACCCGCCCACAUGAAGUCGGAGUUGCUAGUAAUCGCGGAUCAGCAUGCCGCGGUGAAUACGUUCCCGGGCCUUGUACACACCGCCCGUCACACCAUGGGAGUUGAUAGCACCCGAAGUCGGUGAGGUAACCGCAAGGAACCAGCCGCCGAAGGUAAGAUCAAUGACUGGGGUGAAGUCGUAACAAGGUAACC